CCUGAGUGGACACAUCCCCCGGGGGCCAGGACACUGCAGCCAUUACUGCUGGAGCAAGAGGCAGGUCCAGCUGCCCCAGAGGAGCUGUGGCAAGGAUUAAAGGAGCGGAUGCUUGUGAUGGAGCGGAUGCUUGUGAUGGACCAGCAUGGAACCUAGUCCCUGGACGUGGGAGCGGCUUAGGAGAAACACCAAACAUGGCUGGUGGAAACACCAGCAUCAGCGCUAGCAAGGAUUCAGCAGAUGAGCAGACGGAGGCUCAGAGGUCCGGAGACUGAAGGAAUGAAUGUUCUGAAAUGGUUUGAAUGGAAGAAAAGUGGCGGGAGGGCUGUCAUCGCCCAGCACAUGAUGAAGUCACAGAAAACCCCAGAGAACGGCAGCAGGUGCCCCAGGGUCACGCUGUGAGUGCUGAUUUAGUUUCAGGAAAACAAUCUCAUUUGUCACAUUAAAUUAAUGUUGUUAAUUUGAAGUUUA